GAAAUGCGAUAAGUAGUGUGAAUUGCAGAAUUCAGUGAAUCAUCGAAUCUUUGAACGCACAUUGCGCCCCUUGGUAUUCCAUGGGGCAUGCCUGUUCGAGCGUCAUUUGUACCCUCAAGCUCUGCUUGGUGUUGGGUGUUUGUCCCGCUUUGCGUGUGGACUCGCCUUAAAGCAAUUGGCAGCCGGCAUAUUGUCUCGGAGCGCAGCACAUUUUGCGCUUCCAGCAUGAAUGUUGGUAUCCAGUAAGCCUUUACAUUUGCUCUUGACCUCGGAUCAGGUAGGGAUACCCGCUGAACUUAA
rnacentral:misc_RNA from 1 species